rnacentral:rRNA from 1 species
GACGAACGCUGGCGGCGUGCUUAACACAUGCCAGUCGAACGGAAAGGCCCUGCUUUUGUGGGGUGCUCGAGUGGCGAACGGGUGAGUAACACGCGAGUAACCUGCCCCUGACUUUGGGAUAACUUCAGGAAACUGCGGCUAAUACCGGAUAGGAGCUCCUGCUGCAUGGGGGGGGUUGGUAAGUUUCGGCGGUUGGGGAUGGACUCGCGGCUUAUCAGCUUGUUGGUGGGGUAGUGGCUUACCAAGGCUUUGACGGGUAGCCGGCCUGAGAGGGUGAACGGCCACAUUGGGACUGAGAUACGGCCCAGACUGCUAUGGGAGGCAGCAGUGGGGAAUAUUGCACAGUGGGCGGAAGCCUGAUGCAGCAACGCCGCGUGCGGGAUGACGGCCUUCGGGUUGUAAACCGCUUUCGCCUGUGACGAAGCGUGAGUGACGGUAAUGGGUAAAGAAGCACCGGCUAACUACGUG